GGGCGGGGCGGGGCGGGGCGGGGCGGGGCGCGAGAGGACAGAGGAGGCGGGGCCGCGCCCCUCCGUAGCCCGCGGGCGGAAGCGAGAGAGAAUGAGGAGGCAAGAGGGGAGCCGCGGCCGCGGGGAGGCUCGGGACGAGUGGGUUUGUUCCGGUUCUCCUUCCGCUGCAGACGUCCGGGGCCCAGGCCCGAAGCCGAGGGGGAAGGUACCCACACUGCACCAAAAGAUACCUGAGAGACCCAUGCAGCUGUACAUCUGAAGGUAGAUGGACUGGCUCCCUGGGAAGUGGUGGAGAUAGAGGCUGUAACUAGGUCAUGCCUGUCCAGCCACGAGCCACAAUGGCCAGCCUCCUUUGCAGCUAAGUGUUUGCUUCAUGUGGCUCAGCUCUGGUUCGUGGAGUGCAGCAGAAGGGCACUUCUGAACCGCCUUUCCAGAGGACAGUGUGACGCUCCUUUCCCCAUCCUUGUGGCCAGGAUGCUGACAAGCAGAGUAACCUUGGCAGCCACAUGUUGCAGAUGGCACAGACUGUGUCUGGGCCGGAUCCCUGAAUGACUUCAUGGAGCAGAGCCUCUACUCCUCCAGGCCAGAACACCCCCUGAGCCAUUUCGUUAGAGAGAAAUAAGCUUUUAGUGACUGUCUUUUAAGGUCUAUAUAUUAAAACAAGUGAGCCUACCCUAACUAAUUAGUUAGUUCUUCAAAAUUUAGAUACUUAAUUUUUUACCCAGGGUCUAGUCUUGGUGUUAUUUACUUCUAUAUUUGUUUGGUAAUUUAUCAACUUUUUGUUCUGCAAAAUUUCAGACAUACAAAAGUAGAGGAAAUGAUAUAAUGAAGUCUUAUGUACCUAUGACUAAACCUCAACAUUUGUGUUAUAAGGCCUUUCCUAUUUCCUACGUGUAUGCCAUUUCCUACAUAUUUAUGGCCAUACCUCUGUCAUCGGUACCCUCUUUCCUCUCUGCCCCGUUCUGGAUUAUUUUAAAGCAAAUUUCAGAAUCUCAAACAUCAUUCAUUUCAUUGGAGACUUUUAAAUGCCACAAGAAACCUCCUCCAACCUCCCUGGAACUCAAGUGUUAUUGUGAAACUGUGGCUAUGAAAACGGGCCGUUCCCAUUGUGUUACAACGUAUGAUGAAGACAAUGCAAGCUGAAAGGUUAGGCUCACCUGCCGGUGCGAGAGGCACACCCUAUCCCCAGAACAUACCAGAAUCUACCUUCACCCCAUUCAAGGUGGAAGCUUGGAGCUUAUAAAGGAGACCUGGCAGUACCAGGCAGUCUGAGAAUAUGGGGCGACCAGCAGUGGGUCAAGAAUUGAAGCCAGAUAACUUGGGUUCUAAAUAUCUAAACUUCGCUCAGCUACUUACUAGUUGUAUGCUCUGCAACCAUUCACUUAAUUAUUCAGAUCCUCAGGUUUUCUCAUUUAUAAGAUGGAAAUAAUACCUAUUCCAUCACUGGAUCUGUAUGUUAAAAUUAGCUAAGAUUUUUAAAAUUAUGAACUUUAUAUGAUGAUCAGUUUAUAACUUGGAAGUAAAUAUAAGCUAAGAUUUUAAUUCUUAUUUAAUGUUUUCCUCUAGAGUAGCAUUUAUAGUCUACAGGAAUCUAUUAAAAUCAGUGUUAUUGGUGGCAGUGAUUAUUUUUUCUAAUGAGUUUUUGGAUCUAAAUCAGCAGCACCAUCCAUGAAAGGGAAAAUGAUGCUGCAGUUUGCUUAUUUCAAACAUCUUUAAUCUGAGAAAAGUGGACAGUACCAUAGUGAGCUCCUGCAGGGCCAAAGAGCGAAUAGACUCUUAACUCAAGUUUUCCCUCAGGAGGUUAGCUUCUCCCCCCCUUCACCAGCAUCCAGUUUGACCCAGCCAGUUCUGCAUAAGCUGGGAUAUGGAGAUUUCCAGAUCUUAAUGACUUCCCUCAUACAUCAAAAUGUCUCUUUCUGCAUUACUGAGCUCAGUUCCAACUGGGUCACAGCGUUGAGCAAGGUAGACUUAAAAAGGACGUACAAUAAUUCAUGUGAAAUGUAAGCAAGACAUUUUCCUCCUCCCCUGCUGGAUCUGCAUGCAAUGUUUCCCCUUCUGGUUUCUGUUUUUUAGGUACAUUAUAAGUACCUGGUAAGUUAGAACCUUUUAACUUUUUAACUUUCAAUUUUAGAAUAGUUUUAGGUUUACAAGAAAGUUGCAAAGAUAGUGCAGAGUUCCCGUCUGCCCCUCACCUGGUUUCCCCUACUGUUAGCAUCUUACAUUGCCAGGCUACAUUUGUCACGCCUAAGAAACUAACACUGGUAUGUUGCUAUUAACUAAACUCCAGACAUUAUUCCGAUUUCACUAGUUUUUCCACUAAUGUCCUUUGUCUGCUCCAGGGUCCCAUCCAGGACACCACAUUACAUUUAGUUAUUGUGUCUCCUUAGCCUCCUCUGAUUUGUGACAACUUUUUAGCCUUUCCUCAUUUUUAAGGACCUUGACAGCUUUAAGGAGUACUGGUCAGGUAUUUUAUACGAUGCUUCUCAAUUUGAUUUUUUUCUCUAGUUAGAUUGGGGUUAUGGGAUGGAGAGGCUGACCACAGAGUUGAGGUCACCUUCUCAUCACACCGUGUGUCAGGGAGGUGUGCUGUCAAUAUGACAUCACUGGUUCUGUUGACCUUGAUCACCUAGCCUAGGGAGGGUUUCCAGGUUUCUUCACUGUGAAGUAACUUACCCCUUUCCCAUGCUCUAUUCUUUAGAAGCGAUGACUGAGCUCAGCCCAUAAUCAAGGAGGCAAGAGGGAUAAAGCUCCCAAAACAAACCUGGAAGAAUUUGAGAGCAAAAAUAAUGCAAUAUGAAAUUAUAACCCAAAGUAUAAAAUAAAUGUCCAGGACUCCAUACUCAUAUAAAUAAAUGACUAAAAAAAUGAACAAAGGAGAAGAGACAAAUCUUCCUUCUAUUAGAAUUCCAAAUUAAAGCAUUUUGUUACACAGCCUAUUCUGUUUUUACUUUAAAAGUACUAAUAGACUUUAUUGUUAAGAGCAGUUUUAGGUUUGCAGAAAAAUGGAACAGAAAAUACAGAAAGAUCCUACAUAUGACUCCCACCCCCGUUUCCCUUAUUGUUAACAUAUUGCAUCAGUGAUUAACUUUUGAACUUUCAGCUGUCUUAGAAAUGAAAAAUGGAACAGUGCUGUGUGGUAAGAGUCUUUGGACUCUCAGUGAAUAACAGUACUUUCCUAUGAAUGGAAAUAGGCAUCUUGGAAUAUGAAGACAGAUACCACGAGACUCCAAACUCUGUUAUACCAACAGGGGCUAGAUCAUUUAAAAUUUUCUUUUCUGGGAGCUAGCCCCGUGGCCGAGUGGUUAAGUUCGCGUGCUCUGCUUCAAUGGCCCAGGGUUUCUCUGGUUCGGAUCCUGGGUGCGGACAUGGCACUGCUCGUCAGGCCACAGUGAGGCAGCAUCCCACAUGCCACAACCAGAAGAACCCACAACUAAAAUAUACAACUAUGUACUGGGCUUGGGGAGAAAAAGCAGGGGAAAAAAAAGAAGAUUGGUAACAGCUGUUUGCUCAGGUACCAAUCUUUAGGAAAAAAAAAUUUUUUUAAUUUUCUGAUUUUAAAACUCUUAACUCAUCUUCAAAGCAAAAAAAGAGUAGAUGUCAUUACAAAUAUCAUAGCAAGGUUGCAAGCUCUGUGAUUUUAUACUUGUGAGAACUAGUUUCAAAGUGGGUUCUCAAUUCAGUUCUUUGAAUUAAAUUGAAAAGGAAAAGUGCAUCUGAGAGGAGCGGUCAGCAUCUGAAGAGAUGAUGAAGUUCGCAUGGUGGCUGCCAUGUGAAGAUGCUGCAGGACACUGAGAUACCCACAGGAAAAAGAGAUUUCUGUCUCUGCUGGUGAGGUUGUGAGGAAACGGGCACCCUCCACAUUUUUGGGGAACAUUGAUAAACCCCUCUUAGAGGCAUUUUGACAGUAUCUGUCAAAUUUCCAUAUGCAUUUACCCUUGAAUCCAGGGAAAUCCCAUUCAGUUUGGACUCAAUCUGGAAGUUAUUUCUUCCCAAAAGGAACUGAACUGGAUGUAAACCUCACUGAAAGCCUCAGUAUGGGCAGAGCACAGAGAUCCUGCUCAGAGAUUGACAUGGAGCUGUGAAUGUGGAAAAGGUGCCGACCAUAAGCAGGAAGGUGCUGGUGGCGGGCUCAGCACAAAGUAUUCAAGGGACGCUAACCCCCAUAGCCGUUUCUGGGGAGAUGUCUUUGUAAAAUCUGAACUUCAAGCAAUUGCAGGUACAGAUUUUGACUCUUAAAUGACUUGUGAGGAAGCAGUGGUUUCUGGGCACACUGGUGUGUGGCAGGAACAGAGUGUUCCGUGCAGAGGAUCAGUAAAGCCCAGGUGAUCUGAGAAGUGAAAUCCAGUUGAGAACAGAAACAUUCCCUAAGAAUUCCCACCGCUUCUUGAAUAAAGCGACAUUGGAAUAUGACUCCAAACUGCCUCUAGGCAGUGUUUGUAGUAGUAUUAGAUGCAGGUGUAUUAGUGAACGGCAUGCAUUUUCUUUCAUACUCUGAUUCAGAUUCAGUUUGCAUUGUUUUCAUAAAGCCGCAUGCUGAAGAGCCCCCCAGUGUUGUUAUGAAUAAUGACCAGGGCUGGGGGGCCCGAAACACGGCUGCCUGAAUGAGGUGACUGGCUGGCCCAUGGCCCUGGCAGCGUGCUGCUCAAGUGUCUUGUCUGAUGUGCUACCCUGUUACACUGGCCCUGGGCAAGAAGGAGUGUUCAUCAUCGUGUCUCUGGCCUCACAAGAAAGGAGCGCUUUAUGUUUAGUCUGUUCUGUUCCAGAAGGCAAGGAAGUUUGUAACAUAUUAUAGGAAUAAUUUAAUAUAAUGAAUACUUUUUAAGUUUUUAUGCUGUAAAGUGAUGGUUCUCUAACGUUACCAGGCAUCAGAACCACCUGGAGUGCUAUUAGAACACGGAUUGCUGGGCUCCACCCUCAGAGAUUCUGAUUCAGUAGGUCUGGAGGGGGCCCAAGAAUUUGCACGGUAAGCUUCCGUUAUCUGGAACAUCCACGUGUUAUAUUUCUUACUCUUCACGCUGUUGAACUUAAGGUGUUAUUGCCAAGUGACCUGGAAAAUAGAGUGCUCAUUGGAACCGGCCCUCCCUCCUUACAACUGCUUCCCCAAAGGCUUCUGGGCCACUUUUCUGUACUUCCUCCAUUCUCUACCAAUACUCACCUCCAAAUUGGAAUCUGAAAUGGGGAUUUCACUCUUUUCUGUUAUUAUCUUCUCUCUUUCCUCCAGUUCCUGGUGCUAGUAUAUGUAAAGGAAUAGUGACUAAUACAUGGCAGUAUAUAAAUAAGCAGUUGUGUUUAGGAGUUCAAAAAAAGGGGUAAUUAAGAAAGACCCAUGGUGAACGUGAAGUAUAAGCUCAACCUUGAUGGAUGGUGUUUGACUAGGCAGACAGGAGGCAGCGGACAUUUCAGACCAAGGCAGCAUCUUGGGCAAAGGCCCAGAAGCAGGACAAGCAGAGAGUAAGGCCUGAGAGGGGGGUGUGCUGGAGAGAACUAAGAAGGAAGAUCGAAUGGGUAGGCUGGGGCUGGAGAGCCAGCAGAGUUCACAGUUGCUUUAGUGAGACGGGAAGCAUGGAAGGUUGUGUAGUGGCUAAAGGCCUGUGUCAAGCAGAUUAGUUAGGCAGUGAGUGUGCAGGACGGCUUGAGAGUGGAGGCCACCCGGCAAGCUGUUCUGGAAAUGCAGACCUGUGCAAGCCAGCGCUGGGCUGCUGCUUAUCACCUGAAAUGUCUCAUUCGCAGCCUAAGGCAUUGUAGAUGUCACCUCAGUGUGUCUGGGCAAGUGGGGCCACGGCAUGUUCUGCUCACCUUCUUGUAUUUUAACUUUCUAAAAAUCAUUUCCACUUACUUUCAAUAUUUUCUGUGCAGUUGUUCAGACUUAUUUUAGACAAAGCCUUAUCUUCUCAAGCUUAAAACUCUACUCUUUCUUUCACAAUAUUGGUUAUUACUUCCCAACUAACCUUUAAUUUCCUUGUACCUCCUCCCUUUCUCAUCCUCAAAGCCUUUUCUUUCCUGCCUCAGUAACCUUUUCUCCUUAUUUGUCAAUCUAAAGCUAAAUUAUCUUUACAUUCUUUUUCCACCUGGCUUAAUUUGGAGGUAAGCACUUUCUUUUGCCUAAUGCUCAAACUCACUAAAAUAUAUGGUGACAUGAUUUUUUUCAUCCAAUGUUGCUUCCACUUAAUUUAUGUCAUAGAUGAUUCAUAGAUCAUCUCAAAACAAAGAUGGGAUAUUUUCCUUAUUUGAAUAAGGGAGUAUGAGCACUGUCCCCUCUGUUAUAUGUGUAACCACAUUUCCCUAGGUUGUACUGGGGACACAGCAGCAUGUGGCUCAGUCUCCACCAGCAAAGAUGGAGAUCCCAGGCCUGAGCUCCUUCGCAGCAGCCUGAAGGUGGCUGCUUCAGAGGGGGUCUUCCUGGCUCCCAACACCCUCAUUUACCCUCUUCAUGUCAGCCCUGUGGUUUCCGCUACCCUGACAUCCCCCUCAUUCCCAACACAGGCAUGUACAUGGUUGCUCCUUAAUUCCAUUCUUUUUUGUUUGUUUGCUAAAGAGGAUUCUCCCUGAGCCAACAUCUGUUCCAAUCUUCUUCUAUUUUGUAUGUGGAUCGCCACCACAGCUGAUGAGUGGUGUAGGUCCGUGCCAGGAACAGAACCCAGGCUGCCGAAGUGGAACACGCCAAACUUAACCGCUAGGCCAUGGGGCUGGCCCCCUUAAUUCCAUUCUUAAUAGCUGUCAAGCCACCUCUCUCCUGGCUUACCUUCUUCCUGGGCCCCAAAGCAGAUGUACUUUAUGCUCUGUGGUUACAGGAGCUGUAAUAAACUGCCCCUUUCCAGCAACACAGCAUGGGCCCGGAAGCUGGGCUGAGCUGCAAGCACAGGAAUACCUCACUGGGCUGCCUCAUAGCCAUCCUCCCUUUGCUCUCCUCCAAUAAACUCAGAUCAAGCAAGUGCACCUCAACUCUCCUCUCAGAGAACAAACAGAAUCAUGAAUUACAUUGCAAGAUUUAUAUAGCUGAUUCAUAAACUUCAGGAAGUUUUAUCAUGGUUCCAAAACUACAAAAUUUUGUCUUUGGAUAAUUUGGAAAUGAUGCUGAGGUACAUUUCUCCACCCCUCCUGCUUCUUACCUCACUCCGUAGAUGCUACGCACGUGGCCUCAAUGUGUCAAGGAGUGGGGUUCCUGAGGUUCUCAUUCAAAUCAGGUACAGCUCUGUCAGCACCCCAGAGACCUUCAAAAUGUCUAAAUUUCCAAUGUACAUAAAUUAGGUCCUAUUCAUUCAUUCAAAAUGUAUUUUUUGAGCAUCUACUCUGUGCCAGGCAUGAUUCUUAGCCCUUGGGUGAUAGCAGUGGAGACAUACAAAAUCUCUGCUCUCAGAGAAUGUAUGUAUAAACAAACAAUUUCAGAUAGUGAUAACUGCCAUGAAGAAAAUAAUACAGGUAAUGUGAUAGACAGUGGUGGGGACGGUGAGGGAGACUUCUGAAGGGGCGACAUUGAUCUGAGAGCUUUGUAGUAAGAGAGGCAGCCAUGAGAAGCCCUUGGCAAAGAAUACUCCAAGCGGAUGGAGGAUUGAGUGUAAAGACCUGAGUUGGAAGUGGGAGGGCCAGUGAGCCUGGAAUGUAAUGUAAGUGGAGGAUGGGAAGUGAAGGGAGUCAUGUAGGGUGAGACGGGAGAGGCAGGUAGGAGUCACGUCCUAUAGGCCUUGUUGGCCUGGGGAAGAAGAUUGGAUUUUCUCUGGGUACUAUAGGAAGCCAUUGCAGAGUUUUAACUAGUGGAAGAUCGUGGUCUGAUGUAAGGUUUUUUUUUUCUUAUUAGUGUUUUUUAAUAUUCAUGUAACAUAAAUGUUACUGUUUUAAGUGUACAACUCAUUGGUUUUAGCAUGUUGUAAUGAGUGUGACCAUUAGCACUAAUUCCAGAACCUUUCCAUCAUCCCCAAAAGAAAUCCUGUACUUGUUAGCAGUUAUUCCCUUUGACUCUUUCCCUGGCCCUUGGCAAACAAUAAUCUGCUUCGGUCUCAAGAGAUUUGCCUAUUCUGGACAUUUCAUGUAAGUGGAAUCCUACAGCUUAUGUGUCUGGCUUCUUUCAGGUAGCGUAAAGUUUUAAGGCCAUCCAUGUUGUAGCAUGUAGCAGGACUUCAUUCCUUUUUACAGCAGAAUAAGUUUCCAUUGUAUGUGUAUACCACAUUUUGUUUAUCCAUUCAUCUGUUAAUGGACAUUUGGGCUGUUUCACUUUUUGGCUAUUAUGAAUAAAGCUGCUAUGAACAUUUGUGUACAAACUUUUGUAUGAAUAUGUGCUUUUAUUUCUCUUGGGUAUAUACCUAGGAGUAGAAUUGCUAGGUCAUAUGUUAACUCUAUGUUUAGCUUUUUGAAGGCCUGCCACAUCCUUGUCCAAAGUGGCUGCAUCACUUCACAUUCCCACCAGCAGUGUAUGAGAGUUCUGGUUCCUCCACAUCCUCACCAACACUUAGUAUCUGGUUUUGUGAUGGCAGUUAUCCUAGUGGAUGUGAAGAGAUAUCUCAUUGAGGUUUUGAUUUGCAUUUCCCUAAUGACUAAUGAUGUUGAAAGUCAUUUCAUGUGCUUAUUGGCUAUUUGUAUAUCUUCCUUGGGGAAAUGUCUAUCCAUGUCCUUUGCCCAUUUUAAAAUUGGGUUAUUUGUCUUUUUAUUGUUGAGUUGUAAGAGUUCUUUAUAUAGUCAGGAUACUUGGCUCUUAUCAGGUAUGAUUUGGAAAAACUUUCUCCCAUUCUAUGAGUUGUCUUUUCACUUUCUUGAUAUGUCCUUUGACCCUAGAUAAGUGUUAAAAAAAAUCAUUCUGGCAGCCAUGUGGAAGAUGGAGUCGUGAGGGGCAAGAAUGGUUGCAGGGAGAUUAGUUAGGAAGUAUUGCAGUGACUGAGGCUAGAGAUGAUGAUGGCUUGGAUGGUAGACAAGGUUCUGGCUUUAAAUUAUUGCCAGCUCUAGGUAGGCAGUGUUAGAUCAGCUGUUUCAAAUUUUAUUCCACUUUAAAUGUUUUGAAACCAAGAGAGAAAAUUGUGACACAAUUAACAUUUAUGUGGCUUGUCCAUAGACUCGAGAGUCAGCUCUACCAUGUGGUCUCAAGUGGCUCUGGAUUUGUUACACAAGUUCUGACUAAGGCUUUGGAUUUUCGAGACCCAAUUGCAAAUCUCACCCAUAAAAAGUUGGUAAAUUUUAUUAAUAAACUCAUACACAGGAGUGGAAGCUCUCAAGAUAAAGAGAAUAUGCCAUUUUCUUGGGUUGAGGUAAAAAAACAACUCAAAGGCGUGUGCCUGGAUCCUCCUCAUUGAUGUUUCCUCAGGAAAUCAAGGAGGAAUUGGGGUGAUCUGAAAGUUUGCUUCAGUCUGACUAUAAGAGCAAAGGAUGUGGAAGAAUGAAAACAAAAUAAAGGGAGACGAGAUGAUUAGGCGGAGGGAGAGUAGACUUUUCUUAGGAAACUGUCCUAGUCUGUUUAGGCUGCUGUAACGGAAUACUACCGACUGAGUGGCUUAUAAACAAUAGAAAUUUAUUUCUCACAGAUCUGGAAGCCAGGAAGUUCAGGAUCAAGGUGCUGACAGAUUUGAUGUCUGAUAAGAGCCCAUUUCCUUGUUCCUAGACAGCUUUCUUCUCACUGUGACCUCACAUGGUGGAAUUCCAUUCAUGAGAUUGACCCAAUGAGAGCUCCACCCUCAUGACCUAGUCAACCUCCCAAAAGCCCUCCUCCCAAACACCAUCUUGCUGAGUGCUAGGAUUUAACAUGAAUCUGGGGAGGACACAAACACUGAGUGUAUAGGAGAAACAGAAUGAGCGCUUUGUGGAGAGACUAGACAUAGAAAGAUCUGCAUAAGCUCUUGGAGACAAGUUGGGAUAUAUGCAAAUGGAGUAGGAGGUAUACUCAGGUUUAAUUGUUCAUAAAGAGGGUAUUAGAAAAGAUCAAAAUGUUUUAAUUAUUACUAGUUCAGGAGUAGUGACUGCACCCAUUAAAAAACAAAUGAGAAGAGAUAAGCCCACUGACUGAAGUCAUCGCCUCUGCCCGCAAGAAGCCAGAUCCAGGAAUGAACUGAGAGGCUUCUCUGAAAGGAGCAGAUGAAGAAUCCACAACCGGGAAACUCAGGAGGCUACGGAAUUGCUCCCAGCCAUCUAGCUGCAAAGCCGCAGAGCCAGUUCCAGCCCAGGUCCAAAAUGCUGUAAUUGUACAAUUUAAAGGAAAAGGAAAAAGCUCUCCCGGCAGUUUCUACUUAUCCUGCUCAGUAGAUGGCACACAACUGAGCUGCUGCUGCACUGCCAUUCUUUCGUUAUUCGGUGAGGACGUGGGUGCUGAGGAGCGACCUGGGAUGCCAAGGUGCGCACAGUGAGGCUGCCCACAGAGAUGGAGCCCAGGACGGCCGGGGCAGGAGGGAGUUUCUGUCCAGGGGGAGCAAGCUGUAGGGUCUAGGCAAGGGUGAGGCAGUGAGGCACCUGAGAGUGAUCGCAUCCUUGAAUUUGGUGCCCCAGCACCCCGGCCCUGGGAAAGGGUCUUGACAAGGUCUGUGCCAGUGAGCAAACACCAGCCACAAACCUGGGAAUCUUGAAGCCGGGAGGGUGAGUUGGAGAAGCCAAUCAAAUCAAAGGAAGAGCUAGACAGAGAAGUGUUUCUUUUCUACCUCAGGGCACUGGAUUCCAGCAGGUGUACAACCCUGACAUUCCCCACUAAUUUCCUCUUCUCCCAGGAGCACCCACAAAGAGGAAGGGACGAUUCUACGAGUCAAUAUGGAGUCAGUAGAGAAGAAAUAGGUGUGGGGGAAAGAACAAGCAAGAUCAGAAGGAAUUCUGUACACAAAGGCUGGGUGGUGGGCUGCUCCUCUGCAACAUUCCCUCUGCUGGGCUCGCCGGGGCUGGGCUGGGCGUCCUCCUGGGCCUCCUGCCAGGGCUUGAGAGCCAGCCAUGCUCCAGGGAGCGCUCACCUCUUGGUAGUCACUGCUCCCCUUGCACAGAGGCUGGGGGAGCCAGACCUAUGUGUUCAUUUCACAUAACUCAGCUUAAAUCUAUAACUGAACUGAAAUUUCUAUUUCAAGCUUCCAUUCCGCCUGACAGCAGAAAUAUAGUUCAGUAGACUGCAGAUGAGCUUACCUCUGGGUUUUUUCAUCAUUUCAGGUAAACUAUGAAUUCAGAACUUCUCCUUUCCCUCUCAUCUCCCCAGAGUGGCACUGAAGUUUAGGAGACAUGAUGUGAAGCGUCAGGUCUUUGGCCAUCAGCGCCCCUCUAGGCUGGCGUUCACUGCUGUGUCCACAUUCCCAUCGACUCGGAUCAUCAGUCCUGCACUUGCAGCGGCCUAUUCUGAUGGUGACGAUUCUUCCUGAGCCACGUCCUCACUCCUCUUAGGGACUGGGGAACUGUUGGAUGUUCCCCUGUGCCACUCUGGAGACUUGGGGGGAUGUGGCAGACGUGGGGCGCUGUCCUAGACGCAUCUAGUUGCCACUUCUACCCUCCCCUGUUCACCCUGGCCCCACCUGAGACGUGAGCACAGGUUCCUGUGCUCUCAGAUCCCCAAAACUCCCUGGACAUUCUAUGAGUCAUUGUGACUCCUCGCCGACCCCCCACCCUGGCACCCCAGCUGUAUCUUGGAGCCACUGUCGCUCUCUUAUUUGACCUCUCUCUUCAGCUUGGAGAAUUAUCUAACGCUAUGCUGUCCAACACAGUAGCCACUAGUCACAUGAGGCUACUGAGCUCUUAAAAUGUGGUUAGGCCAAAAUGAGAUGCACUGAAACUGAAAAUGCACACCAACUUCAGACUUAGUAUGAAGAAAAGAUUAUAAUAUCUCAUUAAUAAUUUUUAUAUAGUUUACACAUUGAAAUGAUAAUAC
ensembl:lncRNA